rnacentral:rRNA from 1 species
AUCUACGGCCAUACCACCCUGAAAGCACCCGAUCCUCAUCUCAUCUCGGAAGCUAAGCAGGGUCCGGCCUGGUUAGUACGUGACGUGGAUGGGAGACCACCUAGGAAUACCAGCUGCUAUAGGCU